rnacentral:tRNA from 1 species
GCUCCUAUGGCAGAGUAGUAGGACAGCAGAUUGCAAAUCUGUUGGUCCUUAGUUCGAACCUGAGUGCGUGCU